GCCGGAAUAGCUCAAUUUGGUAGAGCAACCGCCUUGUAAGCGGUAGGUUGGGGGUUCAAUUCCCUCUUCCGGCACCA
rnacentral:tRNA from 1 species